rnacentral:lncRNA from 1 species
AGAUAUCUCCACAGGACCUUCUUGGUUAAAUCAGGGACUGCUUUUGAAUUCUACCCAGUCAGUUUCAAAUUUAGACCUGACCACUGGUGCCACCCUGUCCCAAUCAAGUGUAAACCAAGGGUUAUGCUUGGAUGCUGAAGUGGCCUUAGCAACGGGGCAGUUCCUUGCCCCAAACAGUCACCAGUCCAGCAGUGCGGCCUCUCACUGCUCUGAGUCCCGAGGCGAGACCCCCUGUUCCUUCAACGACGAAGAUGAGGAAGAUGACGAGGAGGAUUCCUCCUCCCCAGAAUAAAGACAGGCGCAAACCCGCGUUUUACUAUUUGAUGCUCAUGUGUGUUUUUAGUGUGAGCUCUUGUUUUUGAAAUGAUCGCUUCAGUCUUUGCCUUUGUUUGCACUGUGUGUUCAGUGAAAACUAGGGAAACACAAUAAGCAAAUUACACGAAGGCUGAGAUGAGUGAGAUGAAAGCUAACGUAGUGUGAAUGAAAACUCUGAACAGCAGAGCAGUAGAUCACAUGGCAAACAAAGCAUGUGCUCUGAGGUGAUGGAGGGGAGAGGCCCAGAGCCACUGCAGCAUGAAUGCGGCGCAUUUAUCUUCCGAGAGGCGGGGACUUUGUUUCCCCCCUCGCCCACCCACACAGCCUCCUUAGAGAACCACCCCAUCCCACUUCACAGGCCGGAGGAGCUGUGCCGUGAGGGGUGGGGCCCGCGACCCUCGGGGCACAGAUUGAACUGCUGAACUAGUUGACAGUCUAGCCAAGGUGCUUUACGCAUCUGCUGCCUUAGACGGCUUCUAGGAAGGAGCGAGCGCUAAUUCCAAGUACUUAAGUGACAUUUAGAAUAAUUGAUAGUCAAACUGAACUUAUCACUGUUAGCCAAUGCAUUGGUGCAUAGAAUUUUCUAGGGCUACUUCUGGAAGCCAAAAUAGAAUAGCGUUUCCAUGUGCAUUAAAUACUUUGCCAGCACUGCCUUUCGCCAGCAUUCUAAAUCUGGAAUUUUACACAGAAGGAAAUCUGUCAUUUUAAUCAAAGCUAUGCAUUUCAUACAGCGUUUUCAUUUAAAACAGAGAAACAAAUCCCCAUGACCAAACUGCUUGCUUACAGUUCCCUGUAGUAUAAUUGUAUGAUUUCACCCAGUGUGCAAUUUGUGAAAAUGAACUGUCAUUACUUUUGUCUUAAAAGUAUUUCAAGAAUAUGAACAGCUAUGUUUUCCUGUACACGUCACCUUUUGUACAUUCUCCUUAAUCAAAAUGACCAUAUUGAGUUUAUUACUGGGUAAAUUGCAUUUCAAACUAACCUGAUAUUCAGGGUUCCACAGAAACACAGAAAUAUAGAGCACGUGCAGUAAGUAGAGCAGGAUGCAGACAGCGGUGUCAGAGCCCAGGAUGCCGCUAGGGGUCGCCGUGCUGCUGGGCUCAGUUACACACACACACACCGCCCCCCCCCACCCCGUAGGAGCACAGAAGCAUCUGCUGCCAGGGCCAGUCCCCGACUUCAGUUCACGUUAAGGACUUGGAAGGGAGCAAAUGAUAAUGGGAAAUUAAGUCUUGGACUUGAAUCAUAUUGAUUUGCCCUUAGUUAUGCAUCCAGCAUCUGUGGGUGGAGCACUGAGCUCAGCCCAAACCCCUUCUUUUCUAAAUCCCACAGGGAAGCGCAGAUGCCUCCUGAGGCCUCUUUAAAGCUCUGUUGCCCUUGCUGACAGUAAGCUGAGGAGAAGGACCUGACCGACCUAAAGAGCUAAUAAAUACACAAGAACAUAUAAUAUUAAGUUCCUCUGAGACAAAGCCCAUUCUGUCAGAAAUAAGCCUAGUGCAGACUGAGCAUUCAGCAGGGAGGGAGUUGUGGCAGCCUGGGUUCCAGGCACAGCUCUGAGGCUGGGGGUGGGGGCAGGAGCCCACCGGCCUCCAAGAGACGAUCUGACUGGACGCUCAUGAGGUGCACAGUCAACUAAAACUGGGUCUCCUUCAGGCUGUCUCUCCUUUUACCAACCCCAACCUUUCUCAUCUCUGUACUUAAAAGGGGCCCAGCAGGGAUGCAGAGAGGCCAAGGGCCACAGCUAGCUUUUCAGACUUCAAAAUACCCCUUCUUGGGGUAUACUCCCUUCUCUGUUCUCUGCUGCUGCUGAUAAAACAGGUUUCAAAGAAAAAGCAACCAAAGACUCAGCAUAAGUGGCCUCUGAUCCUCAGUGAGGUGUUCGGGUUACUGCUGAGGGCGUGCACCAGAGUCACACUGUGGUCACCAGGACUCGUCACUGGUACAAAGCUUUACCUGAGCAGAAAACGAGAUUGAGAUGUUUAGAAGGAGAAAUCCUGUUACUCUCUUUCUCCCCUAAACAGAUGUAGCUGGGUCUGAAGUUCAUCACUCAGGUACCAUUUCAUAUAGAAAUCAAAAGGAAUGUUAGGAAAUUGUAGUUACAACAUCCACGCUGCUUUACGGGAGCAGCACUUGGGGUUAUUUGCACCCGCACAUGUCCUCACACACCCUCCCAGGUCAUGUUCUGCUUUGAGGGGAGUUCAGGAGGCCUUUUUCCCUGAGGACCACUUUAGUGGUGACCCUUCCAGUGCACUGGACCACCAGCCAGUGAAUUCGAGCUACCCUCCACACUCAGGCAGACGGCAGCAAGCCUGCCCCAUUUGGCCCCAGGGUGGGAAGGGUCCACAUCACUGUUCACAGCGCCCAGGCGCCUACCAGGCCUCCCUUCCCCUUCUGUCUCAUGCAUGUCAUCUUUUCUUUUGACGACAAGGUGGUGAAAACAGCCUCAGUAAGUGUUGGUCUAAACUGUGCCUUAUGAUCACGGGGGACCUUGGGGAGGGGGGGCCAGGAAAGAGAGGACUAAGACGAUGACUCCUCACCUCUCAGCGACACCUGCCACCCCUGCCAGACUUUACAAAUAAUGACCCCGUGUUUUGUCCCCUUCAAGUUAAUGUUUUGUAGAAGUGGCGGGGAGAAAACUGUCGGCAAUUUCUGGCAUUUUACGCCGGGAUAGAGAGUGACUCCUCAUUAGCAAGAUCUAUAGCUGUAACCAUUACUCUGUGUACGUGGGAAGUGAUGCCAAUGUUAGCCUCAGACACACACUGGCCUCUACAGAUGAUUCAGAUGGAGCUUUUCCACAAAGGAGCAGCUCACUGGAGCCAUGCAGAUAUCACAAACUUGACUGAUCGCUAAAACACAACCCUCUCUGGGCUACUCAGGUUGUUGAGACAGCCACGUUUGGAUAUAACGUAGGCCCUGGGACUGGGUGGGUGUCCGUGGCGGCAGGGAAGUGCCUCAGAACCACAUGCAGAGGGAGAAACCUGGUUAGCUUCACGGGUGACUCACUUCUAGUGCCCUUUAAUACUAGCAAGCCCCUCCCGGCGGGCACAUGGGUGAGACAGACCUGAAGGCCAGAGUGGUCCCUGCAGCUGGGGCUGGACAGUGGCGGUGAGGAUUUAACCCAGUAAGUGUUUGAGGGAAUAGAGAGCAGAAGACAUUCAGAUUGAUUAGUGCUAGGGAAAAAAAGGACAGGGCCAUGGGACAGAGGGGGAAAGGUGCCUUUGGCUGGUGGUGUUGGGGGAAGGCCACCUGAGAAAGUGACUAUUGUUCUGAAUCAGACAAUUAAUUGAAAGCCAUCUCUACCCCAUACUGUGCACUUGGAAUCUCUGCUAAACUCCUAAGGCCCCACUGUUCCAGCUUUAAGAGCAUAUAUUUUGGAGUCUAUUAGGGUAUUUUUAAGAUUAAAAAAACAAACCACUACCAGCAGUAUCCAUAAACUAAGAACAUUCUAACCCAUGAGGUUCUCAUUAUUAGCUUUGUUACCUUCCGAUCGAACCUACACGAUAGAGAAGUGAUUAGAAAUGGAACUUUUCUAGGUGUUCUAGUUUUACAAGUUGUUAGAUACAUAAAAAUCUACUUUUUAUAUCCGAUACAUAAAAGAACCUUUUACCCUGCACGUGGACCGGCUUUAGUGGCACUAAAGACUAUCUAAGGACCGUUUCCCCAGGUAGGUUCCCCAGUUCAGGCGCCCAGCCAGGGAGAUGGUUCACAUGUUUGCAUCGGGACCCACAGUGGUGCCAGGGCUUCAGCCUCAGCCCGGCCUCCCUGCCCGCUGGUUCACAGUGCAUACAAUGUCCUAUUCGGUUGCCUAACUUCCACUCAAGUCAAACACCAUUACUCAAAAGGAAAAAGUGUCUGAUGUUACGAUUUUACCUUUUUCUAAGAAAUUCAAGCUACUUGCCCACCUAAUUACAUUUCUCAGGAAUGAGCCAAGUUGUCCCUGAAAAAUUGUGCUUAAAUAACCUUUAGGAUCCAGUUUUCCCACCCACAUCCACACUCAUGCUGUGCUAAGGAAGAAAAAGCAGGGGCACAAAACUUCGCCCCUCCAGGAAUCCUUGGCAAGUACAGAAGCUUUUAGUGGCAGCAAAGGUCCACUGCCCAUGAGCACAGUGGGCACUUAGCAGUGUCCUGAAAAGCCGUACUGAGAUAGGAGAAAGUGUAUUCACUUACUUCGGCGCAGCUGUUCUUUCAGAAAGAAUCUUGCAUCGUUCUUUACACAAAGCCCGUGAAUCUCAUGCUGUCUUGACCCCUGGCUAUUCCAGCAGCGGGGACUUUGUUCCUCCUUGCUUGGAACUGCCUUAGAAGCCAGUGUAGCUGAAACAGGGGCAGUUCUCGCCCCUUCUCCACCAAGGGCCUAGAAUUGAGAACUCUUCUGCCCGACUCAUUCAGGUGUAUGAAGCAAACCCAGAGCUAAACCUGCCCGGUGCCCCUCAGCCCGUCUGCCAGGGCCCACACCACACCCAGAAUCUCCUUCCUGUGAGGGCCACUUUGCCUCCUCCAAACCAGGCCCUCACCACAGCCCUUCCAGAGGGCUCUUGGAUCAGCAUCAGCCCCCUGUCACAACAAGUGCUAAACAACUGAGGAGCAGGAGCGGGACUUGGCUCAGGAGUCCCAGCGUGAGGCUGUGCUCUCAGAUCUGGACCUCCCAGCUCAGAAGGUCCAGGCUUAGUCACACCUGGGAAGAAACCUGUUCCCCCGGGCAGAUGCAUCACGCACACUGGAGGUUCCUGGCCCCUCUCAUCCCAUGCUAGCUUAUUUCUGUCCAUUUCCAUCUCAACCUAACAAGGAACUGUCCCUCAGUCAUCACUUUGUUGCUUCAAACUCACCAUUUUGUCACUUACAUUUGCCAUCUUCACCAUCUGAUAACUAGUGAUGGUUCUGGUUGCUCCCCAAUGGGGCCAAGACUUUUUCUCAUAUGAAAAGUCUCUGGGGAACCCAGAUUCUUUUCCGCUAAGGCUUUGCUGAGCACACUGCAGUUCUGUUUUGCCCAGUAGUGCCAUGGCGGGUUCAACCAUCCAGUGUCCUGAAAAGUGGAAGUACCCAGCCGCACCGGAGCUUGGAGGACCGCGGCAGCUCAGUCCCCUGAGUUCCUCGAGGCGGCUGUUGGCCGUCACCAUCCUGUUAGACAGAAAGAAGGGCUGUAAGCCCCAAGCCCCAGUUAGUUCACCUUGUCAUUUGGAGAUGUCCUACUCUGAUCAUAUGCUAUCAGGUUUUAUUUCCAGGAAAUUUAGUUGCUUUUUUUCUGCAUGAAGGAGAAACAUCAUGGUGCCACAUGCUUUAAAGCAAUUGAAAUGAGAGAUAUAAGGGGAAAAUGCAAACACCAUAUCCGACCUGCCUAAUGUAGACUUUAUUAGAUCAAUGUACCUAACCUAAUAUGAUGUAUUAUUUUGUAGCAUCUCAAACUUUGUAAAUAAAUACCAUUAUUUUUAUAUGGAAAUUUUAUAGAAGAGCUAUUUCUGUAUACUUAAUUAUUCCUGGAUUUUCUGAAUUGCUUCCAAUAGGUAAUGGACAAGCCCUAAUCUGUGUUUCUGGUAAGGAUGGUUCAAGGACCACCCACGGCAUAAAUGACGGGGGGGAGGGAGAGUUUCUAAAUUUUCCAUCCCUAGGACCCACCACAGCGGCUCACUCUAAAGCUCUGAGGGUUGGGCCUGGGAAGCUGUAUUUUUAAUAAACUGAGUGAUGGUUUUUGCCCAUUAGUGUUGUACCUUUGUCCAUCACGUAAGAUUAAAAGAAGGAAAGAAUAAGCAUUUGAAAUUGUACUUGAGGAAAAAAUGUUAUCAGACUGUUCUAUGAUUUGAAUGAGAUGUACUAUAUAGAAAAAAUAAAUAAUUAAAAAAAA